UAUCUUCUCAUUCGCUUCCAUAGAGAUAGGCCCAGGCAUUUCCGCACGCGCCGCUAGCCCACAACCAUGACCUCCCCCGCGCCGGCGCCGGCCCCGGCCAUCGCUUCAUACUCAGCAGUCGGAUUGGCCGAUUUGACGUGCGUCAUAAAGCAAUUGGUAAAUUCAGAGUAGACCAAUUAUAACGGUUGAAUUGAUCGAACCGGCUAUGAAGACCUAUCACAUGACUGUGAAAAGUCCUGAAAGAAGUUCACCUUGUCAGAAAAUAUGAAUUUUCAGGUAUCGACUUAGAGAAAGUCGAUUUCUCUCCAAAGGAUCAAAAUUGUUGCAACUCGUGGCACUUUUCUUUACACAUGCUGGCCAGCCAAUUCUAUUAUUUAUAAACCUCGAUGAUGAUGUCAUGUGAGGAAUAAUACUAGUAAUGUAGUAUAUCUGGUACUGGUUACCUCAUUCAUUCACAUUAGUUACUUGGCUUAUUUCAAGACUCUGCAUACUUUGUCAAUGUUAUGACUUUUGAUGUUUGUGUAAUAACAGUCAGAUUUUUUGGUAAAAUAAUAGACAAUAUUCAUUUUUCAUGAG